rnacentral:rRNA from 1 species
CGCUGGCGGCGUGCCUAACACAUGUAAGUCGAACGGGACUCGGGGGGCAACUCUCGAGUUCAGUGGCAGACGGGUGCGUAACACGUGAGAAACCUGCCCAUCGGUGGGGAAUAGCCGGCCCAACGGCCGGUUAAUACCGCAUACGAUCAUUCAGGGGCAUCCCUGAAUGAGGAAAGCAGCCGCAAGGUUGCGCCGGCGGAGGGUCUCGCGACCUAUCAGCUAGUUGGCGGGGUAACGGCCCACCAAGGCAACGACGGGUAGCUGGUCUGAGAGGAUGGCCAGCCACAUUGGGACUGAGACACGGCCCAGACUCCUACGGGAGGCAGCAGUGGGGAAUCUUGCGCAAUGGCCGCAAGGCUGACGCAGCGACGCCGCGUGUGGGAUGACGGCCUUCGGGUUGUAAACCACUGUCGGGAGGAACGAAUACUCGGCUACGAAUAGCAGACCGAGGGUGACGGUACCUCCAAAGGAAGCACCGGCUAACUCCGUGCCAGCAGCCGCGGUAAUACGGAGGGUGCGAGCGUUGUCCGGAAUCACUGGGCGUAAAGGGCGCGUAGGU